AGCGAACGCUGGCGGCAGGCCUAAUACAUGCAAGUCGAACGGAUCCUUCGGGAUUAGUGGCGGACGGGUGAGUAACACGUGGGAACGUGCCCUUUGGUUCGGAACAACUCAGGGAAACUUGAGCUAAUACCGGAUAAGCCCUUCGGGGAAGAUUUAUCGCCAUUGGAGCGGCCGCGUCUGAUUAGCUAGUUGGUGGGGUAAAGGCCUACCAAGGCGACGAUCAGUAGCUGGUCUGAGAGGAUGAUCAGCCACACUGGGACUGAGACACGGCCCAGACUCCUACGGGAGGCAGCAGUGGGAAUCUUGCGCAAUGGGCGAAAGCCUGACGCAGCGACGCCGCGUGCGGGAAGAAGGCC
rnacentral:rRNA from 1 species